CCCCAACAUGCUGUCAGAUACAAUGAUCGACAUUUAUUGGACUUAUUUUAAUAAUUAGAAUAAAAACGACAGUUUAGGAAGCAGCAGAAACAUCCUGAUGUUCCUCCUGACGUCUGAGGAGGAAAACAUUUCAUAUCUGGGAGGUCAAACCUGGUUGAGCAAAAACACUCUGCAGAAAAACUCCAAACUUUAGCACCAAAACCAGAACAAAGAUCUCUGGGAUUUUCUGAGGUUGUGAUGGAAACGUGACAACAGACUGAUUGAUCGUCCUUCUGCCAACUCAACGGUUCCCUGUGGAUUUAUAUUUUUAUUGUCUUUCUGUAAAUAAACUUUUGGAUGAAACCAAGA